UCACAACAUGAGGAACUGUAUUUAAAGGGCCAGAAGGUUGAGAACCACUGCCCUAAACCCAUGAAGGUGGUGUAGUGUAAUUGUUAAGAAAGAGUUCUGAAGUCUGGCUGCCUCGGAGCAAAUCCCAUCAUUUAUUUACUGUGUCACUUAGGCAAAAAAAUCUUACCUCUCUCUAAGCUUUGUUUCUCCAUCUGUUAAAUGAGGAUAACAAUUAUUUUAAUUAUGAUAACAGCUGACAUUUGGGAAGAGACAGGUCUGAACUCC